GUGGGGAAUAUUGGACAAUGGGCGCAAGCCUGAUCCAGCCAUGCCGCGUGAGUGAUGAAGGCCUUAGGGUUGUAAAGCUCUUUCAGUGGGGACGAUAAUGACGGUACCCACAGAAGAAGCCCCGGCUAACUUCGUGCCAGCAGCCGCGGUAAUACGAAGGGGGCUAGCGUUGUUCGGAUUUACUGGGCGUAAAGCGCACGUAGGCGGAUCGUUAAGUCGGGGGUGAAAUCCUGGAGCUCAACUCCAGAACUGCCUUCGAUACUGGCGAUCUUGAGUCCGGAAGAGGUGAGUGGAACUCCUAGUGUAGAGGUGGAAUUCGUAGAUAUUAGGAAGAACUCCAGUGGCGAAGGCGGCUCACUGGUCCGGUACUGACGCUGAGGUGCGAAAGCGUGGGGAGCAAACAGGAUUAGAAACCCUUGUAGUCC
rnacentral:rRNA from 1 species